UGGGGAAUAUUGCACAAUGGGGGAAACCCUGAUGCAGCGACGCCGCGUGAGCGAAGAAGGCUUUCGAGUCGUAAAGCUCUGUCCUAUGAGAAGAUAAUGACGGUAUCAUAGGAGGAAGCCCUGGCUAAAUACGUGCCAGCAGCCGCGGUAAUACGUAUGGGGCGAGCGUUGUCCGGAAUUAUUGGGCGUAAAGGGUACGUAGGCGGUUUUUUAAGUCAGGUGUCAAAGCGUGGAGCUUAACCCCAUUAAGCACUUGAAACUGAAAGACUUGAGUGAAGGAGAGGAAAGUGGAAUUCCUAGUGUAGCGGUGAAAUGCGUAGAUAUUAGGAGGAAUACCGGUGGCGAAGGCGACUUUCUGGACUUUUACUGACGCUCAGGUACGAAAGCGUGGGGAGCAAACAGG
rnacentral:rRNA from 1 species